UACGUCGGUCGCAAGCGUUGUCCGGAUUUACUGGGCGUAAAGAGCGCGCAGGCGGCUGGUCAAGUCCGAUGUGAAAUCUCCCGGCUCAACUGGGAAACAGCAUCGGAAACUGAUCGGCUUGAAGAUGGGAGAGGGUAGUGGAAUUCCCGGUGUAGUGGUGAAAUGCGCAGAUAUCAGGAGGAACACCGGUGGCGAAGGCGGGUCUCUGGGCCGAUACUGACGCUGAGGAGCGAAAGCGUGGGGAGCGAACAGG
rnacentral:rRNA from 1 species